UGGGGAAUUUUCCGCAACGGCGAAAGCCUGACGGAGCAAUGCCGCGUGGAGGUGGAAGGCCUACGGGUCGUCAACUUCUUUUCUCGGAGAAGAAACAAUGACGGUAUCUGAGGAAUAAGCAUCGGCUAACUCCGUGCCAA
rnacentral:rRNA from 1 species